GUGCAUCUAUUGGACAGACAUGGAGCGAUGACUGCUGGUUGCUAGGUUUCCCUACAGCUGCAAGAAAAACAGUGUCUUUGCCUUUCUCUCUGGUUGUGGCAGCCAAGACUGAAUGGAGAAGUAAAUAU
rnacentral:snoRNA from 1 species